CUGAUUUCUACAGCUUUAAAACGCGUUUACAGGAUCACGUGUCCGGAAGGCUGAAUGCGAUUCGUGUGAGAAUCUUACCACGUGGAAACAUAACUCUCCAGCCGUCAAUUGAUGAGUGGUACGUUGGUGUGAUUGAACGUAAGUCAAUGACAUGGAUAGGAAGAAGUCCAAGAAAAGGCGAACGUGAGAGAGACAGUGAAUGUGGUUUGAUUUCUUGUUUUGUGGAUGACGAGAAUGUGACCUUGCC